ensembl:snoRNA
GGCACUUGUUUUUUUUUUUUUUCUUGUGAACUACAAAACAAGACAAUUGCAAAAAAUAAAUCCUCUUUUGCAACCCAGAACUCAUUGUUUGAGGUGAGUUUUGAUACAUUUAAGAAGGAAUAUU